rnacentral:rRNA from 1 species
ACCAGACUCCUACGGGAGGCAGCAGUGGGGAAUAUUGGGCAAUGGGCGCAAGCCUGACCCAGCAACGCCGCGUGAAGGAAGAAGGCUUUCGGGUUGUAAACUUCUUUUCUCAGGGACGAAGCAAGUGACGGUACCUGAGGAAUAAGCCACGGCUAACUACGUGCCAGCAGCCGCGGUAAUACGUAGGUGGCAAGCGUUGUCCGGAUUUACUGGGUGUAAAGGGCGUGUAGCCGGGCUGACAAGUCAGAUGUGAAAUCCGGGGGCUCAACCCCCGAACUGCAUUUGAAACUGUUGGUCUUGAGUAUCGGAGAGGCAGGCGGAAUUCCUAGUGUAGCGGUGAAAUGCGUAGAUAUUAGGAGGAACACCGGUGGCGAAGGCGGCCUGCUGGACUGCAACUGACGUUGAGGCCCGAAAGCGUGGGGAGCAAACAGGAUUAGAUACCCGAGUA